rnacentral:ncRNA from 1 species
GCGCCAGCGGGAGGCUCUGACACGCGGCCCAUGCUCCGGCCGCCGGGACCGCGUCCAGCCACUGGCGAGACCGACCUGCGCAUGC